rnacentral:tRNA from 1 species
AGCCCCGUGGUGUAGUACACGUUGGAUUGCAAAUCCUAAGACGCAGACUAACGUCUGCCGGGGCUU